rnacentral:rRNA from 1 species
AUUGAACGCUAGCGGGAUGCUUUACACAUGCAAGUCGAACGAGUGGCGGACGUGUGAGUAAUAUAUCGGAAGUGCCUAGUAGCGGGGGAUAACUACUAGAAAGAGUGGCUAAUACCGCAUAAUAUCGAAUAACCAGUAUGGGAUUAGCUCGUAGGUGUGGUAAUGGCUCACCUAGGCGACGAUCCCUAGUUGGUCUGAGAGGAUGAUCAGCCACACUGGGACUGAGACACGGUCCAGACUCCUACGGAGGCAGCAGUGGGGAAUAUUGCACAAUGGGCGCAAGCCUGAUACAGCCAUGCCGCGUGUAUGAAGAAGGCCCUAGGGUUGUAAAGUACUUUCAGUCGGGAGGCGUUACCGACAGAAGAAGCACCGGCUAACUCCGUGCCAGCAGCCGCGGUAAUUC